CCUACGGGAGGCAGCAGUGAGGAAUAUUGGUCAAUGGUCGCAAGACUGAACCAGCCAUGCCGCGUGAGGGAAGAAGGCACUAUGUAUUGUAAACUGCUUUUGUACGAGAGCAAAGGCAGGUACGCGUCUCCGUCUGAGAGUAUCGUACGAAUAAGCAUCGGCUAACUCCGUGCCAGCAGCCGCGGUAAUACGGAGGAUUCAAGCGUUAUCCGGAUUUAUUGGGUUUAAAGGGUGCGUAGGCGGUCGGAUAAGUUAGAGGUGAAAUCCCGAGGCUCAACUUCGGCAUUGCCUCUGAUACUGGUCGGCUAGAGUGUAGGAGCGGUAGGCGGAAUGUAUGGUGUAGCGGUGAAAUGCUUAGAGAUCAUACAGAACACCGAUUGCGAAGGCAGCUUACCGGGC
rnacentral:rRNA from 1 species